AGUUAAGUCAGCUAAAAAAGCUCUCGGGCCCAUACCCCGGUAAUGUAGGUUAAAACCCUUCCUUCACUG
rnacentral:tRNA from 1 species